UCUCUCUCUCUCUCUCUUACUCUCUCUCUCUCUCUCACACACACACACUCUGUUUAUUAAAUGACGCUAGGAGUACGGUGAAGCCGACAUUAGUGCAUGGGUGGUCCGAGAACAUAAAUAGUCGGAAGCUUUCAUCCCUGAGAUCAUAUGAUUUCGUUUGUGAAAAAGUGACAAACAUGAAAAGGACAUGAGAAAGGAGGAACUAUGUUCAAAGGUCGCCUACGUGAGGAAGAACUGUCGAUUUCGAUUUCUGUAGGAACUGGUUGAAGAUCGCUUCAUGGGGAAGGAGGAACUGUGUUCGUUUCGAUUUAUGUAGGUGAAGGUUGAUUCGAUUUCUGUUGAUGAACCGGUCGAUUUCGAUUUCUAUAGGUGAAGGUUCAAUUUCGAUUUCUGUAGGUAAAAGUUUCGAUUGAAUUCUGUUGAUUUCUGUAGGGCGUACGUAUCUAAUGAGAAUGUAAUUUAGGUUUAGGGUUAAAAGGUAAAAUGGUUUCCACAGCUAA